UAACAAAAAAAAAAAAAAAAAAAGAAAUGAAAAAAUAACCUUUCAACACAGUUUUCAAGUAAAUUUAAAAUUACAUAUGAUAUUAAGGCAAAAAAAAUAAAACGUUAUAGCAAUCAGUAAGUUCAUAAUCUCAAGAAAAUGUUUGGAAGAAUCAGAAUUCUAACAAAUUGGCCUAUAUAAAUUUGUAAAGGUGAUAACCAAAUAUCUAGAGUAAACCAUGAAGUAAUCACACAGCAACACCUCCACAGGAUGGAAGAAGAAUCAUUUAUGCUAAACAGCACACUUAAUCACAUCUAAUAAUUAAAACAAAUUUGCUACAUACCCAUCAGCUUAAAACAAAGUUUCUUAAUAUAAUAAGUUGAUUGAACUGAACAGGAAUAGAACCCAUUAAAGUGAUCGCAGAUACUCAGUAAGAAAAAAAAAAGGCUAUAAAUCAAUUCCCUAAUUCCAUUUUCGAUCCUUCAUUUAAUGAAGAAAUGCAAGCAAAAAAAUUUAUAACCGGCAUCCACGAAAAUAAUAUAUUAACAAUGACCAUCUCCAAUGUGAUCUAACUUAAAUACUCUUUCUAUAGGUUUUUUUGUUCAGUGAAAUGUAACAGAUACAAAUAUUUUUUUUUUUAUUAAAAGGAAAAACACGAUUAUAAUCACUCUUCCUGCGUCGUGUCUUCCCUUAUAUUUCCCAGAAACCAAACAGAUCUUGUUAUCAAAGAGUAUUCACAAUCUAGAAAAUAUCCGAAAAUUAACCAGACCCAUGUAAGCAUUCGAAAAACAAGAUACAAAGCAAAGCAUAAAACUAGCAUCAACAAUCAAAGCCACACAUACCUUAGCUCUCAUCCUGCCUCAGGCUCUAAGGAUCUGUUUGUCUUACUCUGUUCGGCAAUUCCUCUAGAAUGAACUAGAGUUUCUUA
rnacentral:misc_RNA from 1 species